UUCAUUCACCCUCAACCCAACUUCAAUUAUUGUAUGCUUAGUUUGCGUGACAAUGAGAACACAUAAUUGAUCAAUAGGGUUAUCUACUGUAGACGUUCCUGAACUUUGCCCACAGUUGCAAUUGGUCCGUGAACUUUUUUUGAGGCAAUUGCAUCCCUUAACUCGACAAUCAGUUCCAAUUAGGUCAUGCCAUCCAACUCUGUCAAUUUGCCGUCAAAAUAAGGGGUUAAAGCGUCCUUUCGAGUCUGAAGACUCUCCUUCACUUUUUUCUUUCGGUCUGAAACUCUCAUUCGCUUCAUAACCCUGAAUUUGAGAAAUCCCCAAAAUGAAGAACUGAAAGGGGGCUGUGCAUCCGAAAUUGCAAUGUAAGGGAAAAUGUUGAAGAGUUCGACAGAUACAAAUUGCAGCCGUCGUUACUGCAAGUGUGGGUUGGAAAUCAAACGCCGGACUUCAUGGAUAAAUCUGAAUCUUGAAAGAAGAUUUGAGGCAUGUUGCAACAAUCGGUAAAAUGGGGUUGCAUUUUUCUGCAUGGGUGGAGAAUGAAACAUGCCCACGAGGAAAAGAAAUCUUGCCUGGGUUACUUAGAAGACUAAGAGGAACGAAGGACGAAUUGAGAGCAACGGCGGAGAACUUCAGAUUGAUGGAAGAAGAGAAGAACAAAUUAGAGCGAAAACCGUGAGAAGAAGAAGAAGAAAUCAAGAUUUUGAAAAAACAUAUUCUGGGAAUGGGUAAACAAGUUGUUGUACUAGAAGGGGAAAUUUUGAGUUAUCGACAAAGACAAAGGUGGUUAUGGGUUGUUGUUCUGUUGUGUUUUAUGUUCGUGAUAUUAUUCAUCAAUAUGGAUGAUUUGGUAGUUUAGAAAUGGGCAGGAAAUGGGCAUAAUGUUAUAUAUACUCUUCAAAAGCUUUUGAAAUGGGCAGGAAUUGGUAGUGUGGGUAGGAUAUGGGAAGGAAUUGCUAGUGUAGAAAUCUGGGCUGAAACCUGGUCAUAAGG